AAAAUACAUGAAACUGGUUUUUCCAACUCAGUUUUAAGAUUGCCAGGUUUUAUUUCCAAUUGCUGUUUGUUCACUAUUAUGGCCUAGAACCAGUGAUAACUCAGUAGCAACGACCAGCAAUGAACUCCUUAAUAUCAGAUAAUACUAAGGAAUUAUGGUUAAUAUUCUUAAAGACACAACCAUGAUACCAUCAUUACCUAUUAGAAUGAUAUCCAAUAGUAUUUACAGGUGGAAUUACAUAAUGUCUAGGAUUUGCUUUAGUAGAGCAGUUUUUCCCCAAGGUGUUUUAAUCACUUUAAUCCCCCCCCAAAAUUCUUAAGGAGUGCUUAAAAAAAGUAGAGGGGCCUGUAAGAGCUCACAUCCCGACAGACAGAACUGUGUGUCAGGUUCCUAUAUAGCAGGUGUCAGAAGAUUGCUUUAAAUGGGCUUUAUCCACAAGGAAGUCUCACACUUGCUCCCCUCCCUUCACGUUGCACCUCUCUGAGGAGGUACAGGAGGGAAGAAUGGCUCCAGUGGGGAGUAAGAGGUGGGGUCAGAUGUGCUAGGCACAUUCUUGCCUCAGGGCACUGGCCUUCCCGUUCUCAAGAAGGCCCCUUGGAGAAGGUGGCAUUGGCGUCAAGGAGAAGGCAGGAAAAGAGGAUAUCUGGGUAAGAGCCCCCUAGGCAGGGGGAGCAGCCAACAUCAACUCCCUACUCCCUCUCCUGCCUUAUUUCUCUCUAUGGCACUUAUCUCCAUCAACAUAGCCUACAUUUUACUUUGUUUUGUCUGUCUGCUUCCCCUCAUUAGAACGUAUGCUAAUUCAGGGAAGAGAUUUUUGUUUGUUUUGUUCACUGCUGUAUUGCUAGCACUGGGGUGUGGUAUGUAGCAGGCACCUGCAUUGAAUGAAUGUUAAGCUCAUUUGUGUAACUCUAUAAGGC
rnacentral:lncRNA from 1 species